UCCGCCAAGUGCGCGUGCGCAGCGGCCAGGGCCCCGACCCCGCCUCAGUCUUCCUGGGCGGCGGUGGGCGUCAGCUUCUCUGCGCUCCGCGGCCUCACAGCACUCGCGCGUGACCCCCGCCUGCCCCUAGUCAGCUCAGCUGUGCUGCCAUGGCGUGGCGGCGGCCCGAGGCCGGCGUUGGGGCCCGCGGCGGGCUGGCUCUGGCGUUGCUCGCCCUGGCCCUGUGCGCGCCCGGGGCCCGGGGCCGGGCUCUCGAGUGGUUCUCGGCCGUGGUGAGCAUCGAGUACGUGGACCCGCAGACCAACCUGACGGUGUGGAGCGUCUCGGAGAGCGGCCGCUUCGGCGACAGCUCGCCCAAGGAGGGCGCUCAGGGCCUGGUGGGCGUCCCGUGGGCGCCCGGCGGAGACCCCGAGGGCUGCGCGCCCGACACGCGCUUCUUCGUGCCCGAGCCCGGCGGCCGAGGGGCCGCGCCCUGGGUCGCCCUGGUGGCUCGCGGGGGCUGCACCUUCAAGGACAAGGUGCUGGUGGCGGCGCGGAGGAACGCCUCGGCCGUGGUCCUCUACAACGAGGAGCGCUACGGGAACCUCACCAUGCCCAUGUCCCAUGCGGGAACAGGAAAUAUAGUGGUCAUUAUGAUUAGCUAUCCAAAAGGAAGAGAAAUUUUGGAGCUGGUGCAGAAAGGAAUUCCAGUAACGAUGACCAUAGGGGUUGGCACUCGGCACGUACAGGAGUUCAUCAGCGGUCAGUCUGUGGUGUUUGUGGCCAUCGCCUUCAUCACCAUGAUGAUUAUCUCGUUAGCCUGGCUAAUAUUUUACUAUAUACAGCGUUUCCUAUAUACUGGCUCUCAGAUUGGAAGUCAGAGCCAUAGAAAAGAAACUAAGAAAGUUAUUGGCCAGCUUCUACUUCAUACUGUAAAGCAUGGAGAAAAGGGAAUUGAUGUUGAUGCUGAAAAUUGUGCAGUGUGUAUUGAAAAUUUCAAAGUAAAGGAUAUUAUUAGAAUUCUGCCAUGCAAGCAUAUUUUUCAUAGAAUAUGCAUUGACCCAUGGCUUUUGGAUCACCGAACAUGUCCAAUGUGUAAACUUGAUGUCAUCAAAGCCCUAGGAUAUUGGGGAGAGCCUGGAGAUGUCCAGGACAUGCCUGCUCCAGAAUCUCCUUCUGGAAGGGAUCUGGCUGCAAAUUUGAGUCUAACUUUACCAGAGGACGACGGAAGUGAUGAGAGCAGCCCACCAUCAGCCUCCCCCGCUGAAUCGGAGCCACAGUGCGAUGCCAGCUUUAAAGGAGAUGCAGGGGAAAAUACGGCAUUGCUAGCCCCGUCUGCUGUCCUGUUUCCUCGGCUCCUUGGUGUCUGGACUGGCGUUCUGGGUGUCCCAGCGGAAAACUAAAGGGCCAGAGAGGUGUAAACACACACACCACUUGGCAGGUAAUUUCCCCAUGUGCUAUCUUUUUAGGGAUCCUGAACACACAGCCUUUCCCAAAAGACUGCUCCCUCCAGCUACUGAGGAAUGAUGACAAGAAAAGGCCGAAUUGCAGUGUCUCCAUCAGCAGUUUGCUCUCUCUGGGCACACGAUGACAAAAUUUCCUGAAGCGAACCACUAGUCUGACCUCAGUAGCAGGAUUGGAAGCUUCAUGCCAUGGGAGUGGUCAAGAAAGGCAUCCCAAAGAGAACUGAACUAUUUAAAAAAAAAAAAUAGACCUUUAGGAAUAGGUGAUUGUCCCCAUAUACUGGGGAUGAAAUACCCAGUGUAACCAAAUUCCCCAGUAAGAUCGCUUAGUUUGGCAAUAGUCUCUUCUUUUGAGCACGCUGAAGUUUAUUUGCUCAAUGAAGGCUGAAAUUGUAAGUCAGUAUAUAUGUAUUACUAAGUAGAACUUGAGGUGAAGAUAUUAAAGCUAGAAAUUGGAACCAGAAAAUCUAAAGAAUUCAAGGCAUCUUAACGUGACAGUUGAAUUGAUCUCAUUUGAUUACAAAGUUUAUUGCAGUUAUUGAAUCUUUUUUUGAGUGCAGUGGUGCCAUUGAUGCUUACUGCAGCCUCAAUCUCCCAGGCUCAAGAAAUCUUCCCACCUCAGCUUCCAGAGUAGCUGGGACUACAGGUGCAUGCCACGCCUUGUUAUUUUUUUAUUUUUUCAAUAUAAACGAGGUCUUGCUGUGUCAUCCAGUCUGGUCUUGAACUCCAGUGAUCCUCCCACCUUAGCCUCCCAAAGUGCUGGAAUUACAGGCGUGAGCCACCAAACCUAGCCACCAAUUUUACUUUAGGUAAACUUUUAUUUUCAAGCAGCUUUUGUUGGUGUUGCAAGUACAAAUCAUGACUGUUUUAUAAAAUGUUCUAUAAAUAUAACCACUAUUCUUUGUAAGCCAUUUAAAAUUUUAGUCUUUCAAGUAAACACCAAUAUUGUGGUUUUGAUCCUCACUUACGAAGUUCCUAUUUGAGAACCUCCCUACUAAAAUUUAUUUGUAACCCCAAAAUCACCACAUGCAGUCAUUUUCAGACAUGCACAGAGCAGUGAAUGAGCCAAGCUGCCUGACAUGCACGUUUCUGACGGAGGCUGGAGGGGAUGCCAUGCCUUGUUUCCUCUCCUACUACAAACAGGUGUCCUUUCAUAGUCUUUUCAGUACCAUGUUCUUUGCAUUUCUGCACUUUUUGUUGGCGAUUUCACUAUUUAAAAUGGCCCCCAGGUAUAGCAAAAUAUUGUCUACUGCUUUAAAGGCAACAAGGCUGUGAUGUGCCUCAUGGACUCAGUGUCUGUUACAUCAGCUUCACUCAGGCAUGAGUGAUUGUGGUGUUGGCUGUGAGUUCAAUGUUUUAUUAUGCCAGAGAAUCUGUAGGUCCUGUAGGUCCUGGAACCUAAGGCUGGGUUGUUGAAACCACCACUCCAAAAGUACUUCAGUAAUAAGCUGUUCUUUUCCCAAUGCUAACGGGGAUGCUCACUUUUAGGUGUAGAAAGAAAUCACUUGUUGCCAUUGUUUUAAUUGUCUGAAGGCAUUCCUCUGAUAGAUGGGCUUAGUUCAUUAUUUCCUCUAAGCAAACGUUCUUAAACAUUUCUCUUAUAGUGAAAAAAUAAGACAAUUUGUUACAAAUCUUUGGUACUGCUUUCUCCAGAGUUUUAAGAUUGGAACUUUUACUUACCUUAAAAUCACUUGGCUUGGUUUCCUUUAACUUUUUCAAAGAGUUAGAGAGUAAUUCCUGUUGAACAGAUUAUCUUCCUUGUAAAUACACUUUGAAAAUACCUCAGUAAAAGGAAUUUCUCAUGAUUUCUUAAAAAA